rnacentral:rRNA from 1 species
AUGGCGACCGGCGCACGGGUGAGUAGCACGUAUCCAACCUGCCGAUAACUCGGGGAUAGCCUUUCGAAAGAAAGAUUAAUACCCGAUGGUAUAAUCAGACCGCAUGGUUUGAUUAUUAAAGAAUUUCGGUUAUCGAUGGGGAUGCGUUCCAUUAGGCAGUUGGUGAGGUAACGGCUCACCAAACCUUCGAUGGAUAGGGGUUCUGAGAGGAAGGUCCCCCACAUUGGAACUGAGACACGGUCCAA